UUAUCAACGAUGCACCGUCUACCAAUAAAAGCACAAUAUACGCGUGUAUUUUGUGAAAACAUUGCUAUAAAAACACCCAAGAGCGAAGAUAACGGAGAAUAGAGAAAUAAACUAUUUUUUUGGUGCACCCUCAGUGCUUACCUAACAAAUUCUCUUUGUUCUCUUAUUUUUUGGUUAGAGCGCCUUAGUUUCUAACAACAGCAUUGGAAACAAUGCCCGAGGAGAGUCUGUCCGUCGAAUUCGUUAAAUGUAGGUUGCUUGACGAAGAAACAAAAAGAAAGAGUGUAGAUCUUCGCGCACCGGAAAAUGAAGCUGCAUUCUCUGGCACGAGGCCAAAUUGGCAGCAGAAAAGUAAGGUUAGGUGUUUUGGCUGCAAGGUUAUCGGACAUAAGUUAUCUGAGUGUCCGAACAAAAGGCAAAGUGACACCAAUACAUCGAAGGCACACGUCGGUGAAGCAAGUGUAAGUUUUGUUGGUGUAAAUGCGGGAUGUUUUAACAAAAUGGAGUGGUAUAUAGAUUCGGGCUGUUCCGAUCAUCUGGUGAAUAACAAAGAGUUUUUCGAUGAAAUGUGGCUAUUGGAAAAUCUGAAUGAAAUUGCGAUUGCUAAGGAUGAUGUGACGAUUCGUGCGGAAUAUUCUGGAAACGUGAAGAUCAUCAGCAAUGUGUUCGGAAAGCAAAUUGAGUGCGUGGUGCGAAAUGUUUUAUAUGUGCCUGAUUUGCGUUGUAAUCUUUUCUCAGUAAUGCGUGUUGAUGCUGCUGGUAUGAAAGUGGUAUAUGCAAACGGAGCGGUACAGAUUUAUCGUGGUUCGGAAAUUGUCGCGUGUGGUUCACGGGUUGGAAAAUUAUAUCAACUAGAUUUUAGUUAUGUGAAGCGUGGUGAAUAUUCGAUGAUGACGACAGGUCGAGUGUCUAAAGAGCUGGAAUUAUGGCAUAAGCGUCUUGGUCACUUAAACGUGCGCAGUAUUGAGCAAUUGAUUCGGAAUGAAAUGGUUUCUGGGCUGAAAGUGAAAUGUACCGACAAAAAUGUUGUGGUGUGCGAGUCUUCCCCCAGGACAAUCGCAUGGCAAUCGGAUUGAACGCGCAACAUUUUCCAUACAAUCCGCAGUGUUGCGUUUUCUUCGCGCCAACUUUGCCUGUAUUUUUAAUGAGCCAAGCGAUUUUACCCCCUCCUACACGCAUUGUAUCCUACAGCACGCUUGACGCGGCAACGUUCACCACAUACACACACACAUCUCCACACUCAGGGUACGACAUCUUCCCUGUUGCUGUUCUGGACUCAGACAAAAUUUGUGUUUCUACACUUAUUGUUCAAAAAAGUAGUAGUUCUUAGGAUCUGAAUUUACAAACAAAUAUCAAAAUGUUAUGUUCUGCUAAUGAUAUUGCACUAAAUUUAAUUGCACUACAUUAAGUUUUUACAUAUCUUUCGUAAAAGUUCGUCAGAGUAUGAAAAUGUCGAUUCAAUUUGUCAUGAAUAACUUGAAUUUUAAGAUUUUCGCUCAUAAAAUUAUGACGCGCGCUGUCUGUGCGGCGGCGUAAGUCGCUACUCGUAUAGUCGUCUCGCUUCUUCUUGUGUGUGCUUUACCGUUGCUCACCGCUUCAAGAACAUUGCUGCUCACACACACGUCAGUCUGUGGCAAACAAUUGGAGGGGGAGGAUGUGUCGGUUUGCUCCAGAAAUCGUGUGUGAUUUUGGUGUUCUGGAUUUGGUUCCAUCGCUGUUUGUUUUGGUGGAAUUGAAAAGGUAAGAAUCAUCAACCGAUGUAAAACUGGGAGAGUAAGAUGAUGCUGAUGGUGACGGAUUAUUUUCUUUGUUUCUUUUCCUGCUUUCAUCCACUGAUGGCGUCGAGCAUCGCCGAGGAUGUGAUCGAAUGCGGAAUAUCCUAAACGAGGAGCUUCAUUCCGGAUUUUGUUUGCAAUAAGCGCUGAACUCAUCCUCCAGCUUACAACGAACGGUCAACGGAUGAGGAAGGAGAGGAGGGACGGCAAAGGUACACGCACAAACGUGCACACCUCAGCCUUGUCGGAGAACGAGAACACGGGAGGGGGAGACCGGCAACCGAUUCUGUCGUGCUGAGCUUUCACGUCCCUCACCACCGAUCUCCUUCCUACCCCUCGCCUAAGAUCGUCUGACGUCUCGCCUGACACCUUUAGUUGUGUUGGUGCUCUGCGGCUGCUGUCACUGUAGAAGUUAGGUUGUGUGUGUGUAAAAAAACGUAAACAGUGUUGUUGGCUGAUCAAGUGCGGUAAGUUUUUUUUAAUAAUUAAGUUCUUAAUUUUACGUAAGUAAGUGCCAUUUUAGCAAAAGUAAGUAGUUGAAGUCCUCCCCAAUGCGUGCUGGCUCCGUCGGAAGCGGCACGUAGCGGUACGUGCAUGUACCGGCAUAGAAAAGUGGUGUGGUGGACAACACAGCACAGGACAGCGGAUAAAAUGCAGAAACGAUAUGGGCCUGCCGCGGGUGUUUGCCACUGUACGUUGCAUUGUAUAUGUGAUGCGGUAUGUUCGGUAUCCAAUUUUCCUCUAUCCUGGAACGUGGGCUUACGAGGAACAAUUUAAGAACAUCCUCCGGAAGCUGUACGGCGACGAGUCGGGCUCUACCAGCACAACACGCUAGAGGCCCAGCCGGCACCGGGUGCCCCGAUUGCGCCGUGAGACGGUGUCGAGCGCGCUCGUUAACAACGUUCGGGGCAGGAAUUCAACCCUUCGGAUCAUUAUCCUCUGCCUCACAAUAGCUGCAGCAGCAACAGGACCGAACCGACCGCACUACUGAUUGCGGUCAAAUUUCCUGGCAGGAGAAAAAACCCCACAAGUGUAUCGAUUUCAUCGACGGCCGCUCGCUGACGGCACCAACAUGCCACUGAAUAACCCCGGAAAGGCGACAAGCACUCAUCUCCAGCGGCAAAUUGUUAACAUCAAUCCGCACAUCUACACGACAUCAUGAUAAUAGUGUUAUUGUGUAAAUUGUAAAUAAAUUACGUUAAUGAGUUAAGAUUA